rnacentral:tRNA from 1 species
GUCUGGGUGGCUCAGUGGUUGAGCAUCUGCCUUUGGCUCAGGUCGUGAUCUGGGGUUGUGGGAUCAAGUCCUGCAUCAGGCU